GAUGAACGCUGGCGGCGUGCCUAAUACAUGCAAGUCGAGCGAACGGACGAGAAGCUUGCUUUUCUGAUGUUAGCGGCGGACGGGUGAGUAACACGUGGAUAACCUACCUAUAAGACUGGGAUAACUUCGGGAAACCGGAGCUAAUACCGGAUAAUAUUUUGAACCGCAUGGUUCAAAAGUGAAAGACGGUCUUGCUGUCACUUAUAGAUGGAUCCGCGCUGCAUUAGCUAGUUGGUAAGGUAACGGCUUACCAAGGCAACGAUGCAUAGCCGACCUGAGAGGGUGAUCGGCCACACUGGAACUGAGACACGGUCCAGACUCCUACGGGGGGCAGAAGGAGGGAAUCUUCCGCAAGGGGCGAAAGCCUGCCGGAGAAACGCCGGGGGAGUGAUGAAGGUUUGCGGAUCGUAAAACUCUGUUAUUAGGGAAGAACAUUUGUGUAAGUAACGGUGCACCUUUUGACGGUACCAAAACAGAAAGCCACGGCUAACUACGU
rnacentral:rRNA from 1 species